GAUGAAGAACGUAGCAAAAUGCGAUAAGUAGUGUGAAUUGCAGAAUUCAGUGAAUCAUCGAAUCUUUGAACGCACAUUGCGCCCCUUGGUAUUCCAUGGGGCAUGCCUGUUCGAGCGUCAUUGACACCCUCAAGCUCUGCUUGGUGUUGGGCCGUUGUCGUUUCCUCGCCCCCCCCGGGCGACACAGCGACACCCCUCAAAGUCAUUGGCGGCUUUCCUGCCCAGCCUUCCCGCGCAGCAGUUCGCGCUUCGGAGACCACUUGGCAGGUUGGCAUCCAUCAAGCUGACCCCUCACGCUUGACCUCGGAUCAGGUAGGGACUACCCGCUGAACUUAAGCAUAUCAAUAAGCGGAGGA
rnacentral:misc_RNA from 1 species